rnacentral:rRNA from 1 species
CGUAGGGUGCAAGCGUUAUCCGGAAUUAUCGGGCGUAAAGAGCUCGUAGGCGGUUUGUCGCGUCUGCUGUGAAAACCCGAGGCUCAACCUCGGGCCUGCAGUGGGUACGGGCAGACUAGAGUGCGGUAGGGGAGAUUGGAAUUCCUGGUGUAGCGGUGGAAUGCGCAGAUAUCAGGAGGAACACCGAUGGCGAAGGCAGAUCUCUGGGCCGUAACUGACGCUGAGGAGCGAAAGGGUGGGGAGCAAACAGGCUUAGAUACCCUGGUAGUCCACCCCGUAAACGUUGGGAACUAGUUGUGGGGUCCAUUCCACGGAUUCCGUGACGCAGCUAACGCAUUAAGUUCCCCGCCUGGGGAGUACGGCCGCAAGGCUA